rnacentral:rRNA from 1 species
UGAGCAAUCUGCCCUUCUCAUCGGAAUAAGCGUUGGAAACGACGUCUAAUGCCGAAUACGACUUCCUUUCGCAUGAUCGGAGGUGGAAAGCUCCGGCGGAGAAGGAUGAGCUCGCGGCCUAUCAGCUAGUUGGUGUGGGUAAUGGCCCACAAGGCGACGACGGGUAGCCGGCCUGAGAGGGUGACCGGCCACACGUGGGACUGAGACACGGCCCAGACCUCCGUACGGGAGCAG